AUUUUGUCUUCAAAAAGACAACACCGGUUGUACUUUGAUCAGCACUCCCAGGACCUUGGGCUGGGGUGGAGGACUCACCAUGGUUUUCAGGAACUGCUUUUCAAGUCAGACGGCUGUAGAAGCACCAACGGACAACUGGGUCGAUCGGUCUGAAUUCGUGGUGCGACUGAGGGAAGUCACCUGCCUCUCUCCGCCGCUGGAGAGCCACAGCCCAUCUCGCAAGGCCCUCUUCCGUCUGUGGCAUAUGUGCGUCGUGGUAGUGUCUGACGCCAGGCUGG